UACGGUUGGGCACUCUAGCGAGACUGCCGGUAAUAAACCGGAGGAAGGUGGGGAUGACGUCAAAUCAUCAUGCCCCUUAUGACCUGGGCUACACACGUGCUACAAUGGUUGGUACAACGAGUUGCGAGUCGGUGACGGCGAGCUAAUCUCUUAAAGCCAAUCUCAGUUCGGAUUGUAGGCUGCAACUCGCCUACAUGAAGUCGGAAUCGCUAGUAAUCGCGGAUCAGCACGCCGCGGUGAAUACGUUCCCGGGCCUU
rnacentral:rRNA from 1 species